rnacentral:lncRNA from 1 species
GCGUUAUGAAAUUGGUUGAUAUGACAACGUCCAUGAUCGCUUGCGAAAAUGGUCUGGGUGAGCCCUUAAUUGAGUAGUCGGACUUCGCUCUCCCGCAGAAUGUUCGCCAAUUUGUUGUAGACUCCUACACAAUUUCUCAUUGGUCAUACGUAACUCAUCAUUGCUUGCUCGAGACACAUCUAUUUCCGCCAUUAGCUGGUCUUGCUUGAGCAGCUGCUCAGCUUGGACUUUCGCCAUGAGUCUCUCCGACUCAGCCUUGGAUAUCACCAUUGCCUCAUGCUCGCU